UACGAAGGGGGCUAGCGUUGCUCGGAAUCACUGGGCGUAAAGCGCACGUAGGCGGCUUUUUAAGUCAGGGGUGAAAUCCUGGAGCUCAACUCCAGAACUGCCUUUGAUACUGAAGAUCUUGAGUUCGGGAGAGGUGAGUGGAACUGCGAGUGUAGAGGUGAAAUUCGUAGAUAUUCGCAAGAACACCAGUGGCGAAGGCGGCUCACUGGCCCGAUACUGACGCUGAGGCGCGACAGCGUGGGGAGCAAACAGG
rnacentral:rRNA from 1 species